rnacentral:rRNA from 1 species
GUGGGGAAUAUUGGACAAUGGGCGAAAGCCUGAUCCAGCCAUGCCGCGUGUGUGAAGAAGGCCUUCGGGUUGUAAACUGCUUUUGUACGGAACGAAACGGUCCUGGUUAAUACCUGGGGCUAAUGACGGUACCGUAAGAAUAAGCACCGGCUAACUACGUGCCAGCAGCCGCGGUAAUACGUAGGGUGCAAGCGUUAAUCGGAAUUACUGGGCGUAAAGCGUGCGCCGGCGGUUUUGUAAGACAGGCGUGAAAUCCCCGGGCUCAACCUGGGAAUUGCGCUUGUGACUGCAAGGCUGGAGUGCGGCAGAGGGGGAUGGAAUUCCGCGUGUAGCAGUGAAAUGCGUAGAUAUGCGGAGGAACACCGAUGGCGAAGGCAAUCCCCUGGGCCUGCACUGACGCUCAUGCACGAAAGCGUGGGGAGCAAACAGGAUUAGAAACCCUUGUAGUCC